GGCAUUCGGAGACUAGUGCGUCAAGGAUUUUGGACUUAUUUCCGAGCCUGAAGUUACUCACAGAAACAUAACAAGCAGAGAUCAAUUUGUUGUGCUAGCAACUGAUGGGGUAUGGGAUGUGAUUUCGAACGAAGAAGCAGUGGAAAUUGUGGGUUCAACAGCAGAGAGGGAAAAGUGUGCCAAGCGACUGGUGGAAUGUGCAGCUGCAGCAUGGAGGAAGAAGAGGUGGAGUUGUGCAAUGGAUGACAUUUCCGCUAUUUGCCUCUUCUUUCACUCUUCCUCCUUGUCUCAGCAAGUUCACCCCAUUAGUACACUUAAAUAGGCUAAUGAGCAAAGAUUAUUGCUAGCUGAUCGAGAGCUCCUUGUUUAUCUUGUAACUUGUUAUUUAUGGACCAUAGUUCGAUUAGAUAUUUAGUUUCCAUAUGCACAUCCCAAUCUGAGCAUUAUCAAUUUUUUGGCAUGAUAGAUUUGCAA